GCCUCUUGGGAUAGCUCAGUUGGUAGAGCAUGAGAUUCUUAAUCUCAGGGUCAUGGGUUCGAGCCCCACCUUAGGCA